GGUCUGGUGGUCUAGCGGUAUGAUUCUCGCUUAGGGUUCACCCUGACAUGAAAUCAAGUCACGUGACUUGUUGCGAGAGGUCCCGGGUUCAAUCCCCGGCCAGACCC